CCGGACCGGCGCGACGGGUGCGUAACGCGUAUGACCAACCUACCAUACAACGAGGGGAUAACACUGAGAAAUUGGUACUAAUACCCCAUAAUAUCUCAUGCGGCAUCGCAUGGGGUUGAAAACUCCGGUGGUUGAUGAUGGGCAUGCGUUGUAUUAGCUGGUUGGUAAGGUAACGGCUUACCAAGGCGACGAUACAUAGGGGGACUGAGAGGUUAACCCCCCACAUUGGUACUGAGACACGGACCAAGCUCCUACGGGAGGCAGCAG
rnacentral:rRNA from 1 species